GGUAUAAGGGGACGUGUCGAUUGCCAGAGUUGAUUCAGCUGAUCCCACUGGCUAAGCAGGUAUUCCCUCCUGACCCUCACAGUACCAUGUGUGUUUCUUUCAAAGGUGCAUGUUCAGUUAAAGAGGAUGACCUUUUCCAGUAAAGGAGGACCAUUCUUAGGCCAAGGGUCUACACGUAGCUGUGCUCCCCUGCUGAAACCUCCAAGCAAGCUCUCACAAAGAUAUGAAGUUUUAAAACAAUAAUGACACACUACACACCUACCAGAGUGU
rnacentral:snRNA from 1 species